rnacentral:rRNA from 1 species
AGAUUGAACGCUGGCGGCAUGCCUAACACAUGCAAGUCGAACGGGAGUAGCAAUACUCUAGUGGCGGACGGGUGAGGAAUACGUAGGAAUUUGCCCUUAAGUGGGGGAUAACCCGGGGAAGCCCGGAUUAAUACCGCAUGACCUCGAAAGAGCAAAGUGGGGGAUCGCAAGACCUCACGCUUUUGGAGAAGCCUACGUCGGAUUAGCUAGUUGGUGAGGUAAUGGCUCACCAAGGCGACGAUCCGUAACUGGUCUGAGAGGAUGAUCAGUCACACCGGAACUGAGACACGGUCCGGACUCCUACGGGAGGCAGCAGUGGGGAAUAUUGGACAAUGGGCGCAAGCCUGAUGCAGCGACGCCGCGUGAGGGAUGACGGCCUUCGGGUUGUAAACCUCUUUCAGCAGGGACGAAGCGCAAGUGACGGACCUGCAGAAGAAGCACCGGCUAACUACGUGCCCAGCAGCCGC